CGAACGCUGGCGGCAGGCCUAAUACAUGCAAGUCGAACGGCUCUUCGGAGCAGUGGCGGACGGGUGAGUAACGCGUGGGAAUGUGCCCUUUGGUACGGAACAACACAGGGAAACUUGUGCUAAUACCGUAUGUGCCCUUCGGGGGAAAGAUUUAUCGCCAUUGGAGCAGCCCGCGUUGGAUUAGGUAGUUGGUGAGGUAAAGGCUCACCAAGCCUACGAUCGAUAGCUGGUCUGAGAGGAUGACCAGCCACACUGGGACUGAGACACGGCCCAGGCUCCUACGGUAGGAAGCAGUAGGGAAUCUUGCGCAAUGGGCGAAAGCCUGACGCAGCCAUGCCGCGUGUAUGAUGAAGGUCUUAGGAUUGUAAAAUACUUUCACCGGGGAAGAUAAUGACGGUACCCGGGGAAGAAGCCCCGGCUAACUUCGUGCCAGCAGCCGCCGUAAGAC
rnacentral:rRNA from 1 species